rnacentral:rRNA from 1 species
UACGUAGGGGGCAAGCGUUGUCCGGAAUCAUUGGGCGUAAAGAGCGUGUAGGCGGCCCGAUAAGUCCGCCGUGAAAGUCCAGGGCUCAACCCUGGAAUGCCGGUGGAAACUGUCGGGCUGGAGUCCGGAAGAGGCGAGUGGAAUUCCUGGUGUAGCGGUGAAAUGCGCAGAUAUCAGAAGGAACGCCGGUGGCGAAAGCGGCGGACUGGACCUCCACUGACGCUGAGGCGCGAAAGCUAGGGGAGCAAACGGG